AGCUGUAAGAUCUUCUUUAUUUAUUCAUUAUAUGUUAAAACGGCUGAAGAAACCAAGCAUUAUGAAAAUUACAGUGGGACAUGUCCAAAAAGAAAAACGUGUUAUAUUUUUAAGGUUAUUAUAGGUAUAAGUAUAACUGAAUUGUUUACAAUGUCCCAAAAAAACAUGAGAAUUUAGAGUCGAAACAACAUUAGUUUUACUAUUGUGAGUCUUUUGUUUUGAACUCAAAUGUUUCAAAAUGUGAAGCUGUUUUUGCUUUUUUGAAUAACAGAAAUUCUCCCAAAAAUGUAUUCUUAUUUAUUUAAUUUAUAAAACAUUUUUGUUGCUUUUCUAGCAAAAAAUAUAUAUUAUUAUAAAACAUUACAUGAUGCAAUUAAUUAAAUACUUCACUUUUUUUUUACAAAGAGCCAAAGAUUUUGCAUCAAUCUUCCAGUGACCUGAAGUUCCUCAAACGUUUCAAAUCAGUGCCAUAUUCAAUCUCAGACACUCAUCUCUUCAGAAAGCAUGAAUUCCUGUCUUUCGUUUCUAAGCAGUCGUGGUUUCGUAACCAACCGGUAACACACACACACUUGAAUUCUCCCUCAUUACACACACCAUGCAUGAGAACUGACCUUUAGAAAUGAGAUCAUUUAACCACAAACCUCUUCACAUCCAUGCAGAAAUUCAUUAUUUUCCAUGCAUACUUUCAAAAUCCUCCCUAUGCAUUAAACAAACACUGCCUGCUCCACUUAGAGACAAAACAUCUGUGUUUUCACAGCAUUAAAAAUGCAUGCCGUGCAAAAGUUGAUGCUGCUAACGUCAAGUAUGCACUUACCAAUAAAUAAAGAGGUUUUCAACACAGGGUGGAAUUGUGAUUCACUGCCCUGGCAUCAUCAAAAAUUAUAUUUUAGAGCCACUAACAACGGUUAUCAUACGCACAAGCUGCUGUGCUGUUUAGGAGGUGGAUGUGUUUAAUAAUCAUCUUGCUUUUCAACAUAGAAUCAGCAGAAAACUGAGACAAAUGUGAACCAAACCUGCUGAUUUCAGUUUAAUUAACAUCACACUUACAGUGCUACACCUAAAAUGAUGUUUAAUAAAACUUAAUCCAACAAUGCAAGUCCAUAUAACUAUAUUUCUUCUCUCUGAGCUGAAAGCUUUGAGUAGAUAAAGCACACGCUGAGAGGGUUUACAGUUACACUGUUAUUCAAUUUCAGGUUGGCUUUUUCAUGGGUGGAGAUCUGGAAUAAUUGGAUGCAGAUGUCGGCCGCUGCGCUGUAUCCUAGUAAUAUGCAAUCAGGCAGAAACGCACGGAGUGAGAGAGUCCUUAUCUAGAAGAAGCCUCUUGUACUUAGGGCCUGAAAUCAGCUCUGUGUGAACACCGUGAGCUGUAAUGUCCCAAAAGAUACACAGACAAAGAGCAGCUCCAGAGAUUUGGGUGAAUGUGAAGGGUGGGGUCUUAAACUCCCACCGGCGGGAACCAACAGGAAGCAAGCAACAUGACAAAUCAAUAGCAUUGACUGGAAUCUGAGUCCAUGUUCAUCUCGCAGGAGAGUCAGAGGAGAAAAACAGCCAUUGCACAACACUGAAAACUGCCCGCUUACAUAACACUUAAUAUGAGUUUAGCUGCUCUACUGAGUCUGUAAAAUUUGGGCCGUAAUUGUAAGCCAGGGUAGCAAUUAGCAGGAGAAAAGCCAUCGACCGGUGCAUCGUGUAAUGAGGGACAGUUUCUGAAGAUUACAGCAAAUAAUGCACUUUAUAACUCAGAGACUGACACUAGCGCUAGUAUAAACUGGAAAGGAAUCAACCAUAAUAUCAACCUACAUAUGUUGACUGAUGUACUGGAGUGCUGUGGAUUAUUGUGAUGUUUUUAUCAGCUGUUUGGACUCUCAUUCUGACGCCACCCAUUCACUGCAGAGCAUCCACUGAUGAGCAAGUGACAAAAUUUUACAUUUAUCCAAAUCUGAAGAAGAAACAAACACAUAUGACUCAUUGGUGGCCUGAGGAUACAGAUGAGUAACUCGUAUGAGGAGUUUCCAGAUCUACAGAAGCUCUUCACACACACAACAUGAUGAAGAGCUGAUUUUAAUGAUGAUACUGGCUCAGAUGAACGUGAGUCACACAGAGAAACGUUAUUUCCACAAUGUCAAAUAAAGACACUCUGUUAGACUCUGUAUAAUGUUUUUGUUAAGUGGGACUGUUUGUGAAGGAAAAGAUUAAAUGAAGCUUCAUUUAAACUGCAUGGUUGGGAUGCCAAGAGCUCCACUCCUCUUUAUUCCCAGACAAUGAUUGGUCAGAUCCAUGAAAACACAGCGUGGAGGAUCUAUGAAUCAGGACCCGGUCCAGGACUACAGAUAGUUUCCUCUUCACUGGUGCUCUUCUGCUGGAAAACAGGAACAUGAUCUGACCUAUUAUAACUAUUAUUAGUUUGACUCAAGUCAACUUUACCUGUGAAAUCUGAAUGACUGUAUGAACUGGGUCUGGUUGUGCCCUCAUAUGCUGUAUAUUAUAUUGUUGUCAUGUUUUGUUCAGUCAUCAGCAUUAACUGUUCCAGUCUCUCAGGAUUUGUUUCAGCUGCUGUGAGUUAUUUUAAGAGACAGACAAAGAGUGACGGGAUGAUUCACAUUCUGCUACUGAACUACACACAACACACACUGGGAUCGAGAUUGGAUGAGUUUGGAUCUGACAAGACAUUGCUGUACAAGAAUAUUCUAGAAAUAAUGAUUCUGGAUAUUCUGGAAAAGUUUUAUUACUUUUUAAGAUACAAGUGAAAGCAUUUCAUAUUUCUGCUGCAUAUUCUAGAAUUAUUUCAAAGAAAGGCCAUUAAGCAAUAAACAUCAAAAAAAGUGAUAGGCGCACAAAAGUCACGAACAACACAGUCCAACAAGAGCUUCUGUGACAGUUUCUGAUUUGUUUUUUUCAUGCCUUCCUUACCUCAAAAAAAAAAUGCAACAUUUUCUCAUGUGACCUCUAGAUGGCAGCCCAUAAUAAUACAAUCAAAACAGUCCCUAAUCAGCCAUUAUUUCACACACAUAAUUUCAUGCUAAAUUUCAAUAUUUUGGUUGUCUUUUACAAUGUAAUUGUUACAUUUUCAAUUGUAUUGUACUCUAUAAACUGAUUAGAUUAUACCGAAUACAGUUUGAGUUUUAUUCCAGGACAAAUACUACAGAAAUCAUCGUAUUUUACAUCAGUUAAUUCAGCAGAUCCUGUUUAUCCAAAGCAACUUUCAAAUGAAGAAAAACCAAAAACAAGUGUUAGGGUAUAGAUACAGUAU